UCAAGACCCAUUAUUGCUCCUUCCAAUAUUUAUUCAUUUAUUCUUUCUUGCAGGGCGCCAGUUCAUGUUUUAUUUCUUUCUGUUGAAUAAUUAGAUCUUUCUUACGUUCCUGUUCCGGACCUUCUUUUAUAGAGAUAAUGGCCUCACUGAAUAUUUCAAAAUCCGUGGUGAAAUAUUUAGUUAAAAACUUUAUCUGCUUUUUGGUAACAUCUUUCUGAGUGAAGGCAUCCAGGGCCCAGCCCCUUGGACUUCCUGGGGCAAAGUGUGUCCACCCAGCUACGUUCUUAAUCCUGCUAGACGAUUCUGCUUCAUCUGAACAAACAAGCAUCAUACCAGGGCCUGCAUCGAAAGAUUCACUGAGACAGGACAGACACUCAGCCAACUCCGGGAGCAGAUGUGGCAGCUGAUCACAGAUAAAAGGGAGCCAGCUGAGCCCAGCAGAGCUCCAGGCCCGGAUCACCACCCAUGGAGAGUGAGCUGAUAAAGAGCUGUUGUUUCAAGUCACCAGGUUCUGGCACGUUUAUUUACGCAGCAAUGACGAACAUGUUCAUUGUGAAUUUCUGCCUUUCAUCAACACUCUUGGUCUGGUGGUAAAUCUCCC